AAACAACAGAUUAUGGACAUGAUUCCUAGAAUUAGAACUCGAAUGGGUCAGACUUGAAUACAUGCAAAAUCAUGUAACAAUAUUAAAGGUGUUGUACUUCAGGAAAAGGGGAAGCAUAUUUGUUGGAAGAUGGAUAAAGAAAUAUUGGAGCAUGCACUAGACUUCUUUAAAUCCUGCUUUGUUAUCAGGUAACAUCAUUGAGUACAAAAGAAAUGCACCUUCACAGUAGACAACUUAUAACCUUUCGACAAGAAAUUGGGACUGCCUGCCAUUCAACCAUUGUACAUAUAUGAAUUUACCAGUCCUGUUGUGAAGAAACUUAUUUCAUCCUCUUUCAAGGGCCAUGUUAUUUAGGAUUUUAACUACUUGUCCUGCAUCACAAGC